AGGAAGCAGCUGGCUCGGAGCUGCUGGCCUCGGAAAAAUGCAAAGCACUUGUGUUCCUCCUCCUGCUGCUGCUGCUGCCUCCCCACCCCCAGCCAGAGAGCCUCAGAAUGGGGGGAAGUGAAAGGAGCGCCUUACAAAGAACGAGGGAACAAUACUGCAGAAAUCGCAAGGAACUUGUGAAGGAUUCCAGAAAAGUGCAGCUCAUGAGAUUCAGAGGAAAGGACUCCAUCUAAUUUCUCCAGGGUUAUGGAUGCUGGCAUAAAGAAACACAUAAAAGCUGAAAUAUCACCAUUGUUCCUGACAGGACUGUCUUCCAAAACAAACAGAGCUGCAGAAGCAACUCAAUCCUGACAGAAUCCAGAAGAGACAUGAAGUGCAGACGAGUUGGUAAAACAAAGGGCUGCCUAAAAGUUGCAUUAACUGGGCUUCUGUGACAGCAAGGAUUCUGCAGAGAGGAUUAAAAAUAUAUGCAAAUUGUGAUGCCUGCAGCAGGACAAGAGCAGAGUGUUCACCUCUGGGUUUGGAGUGUUCAGCAGGAAAAGUGAGCACGUCAGCAUUGCCCCAGCUGGCCCGAGGAGAUUCAAACCACGCCAAGCACAGAGCGGCUGCGAGAGCUCCGAGAUGCCACAGCAGGAAAACUGCAGGGUGGGGGUUAAACAAGCACCAGUGCUCACCAGAUGGCUGAGGAGGACAUCUAGGAAGGAUCCGGAGCAUGAGGAAGAAUAUUAAAAAAAAAAAAAAAAAGUCCCCUUCUAUGCCAUAAAUAUUUAUACUAAAUCCAAGGAACUGGCCGAGUUCAGACUUGCCUUAUAUGAAUCAUAGAGCACUUCCCUCACCCCGUCCUCAUUUCAUGUGUUCUGGAGAAAAGCACACAGAGGAGGUGCCACACUUGUGGCAGCUUC